GACAGAGGCCACAAGCGUUAGGCGGAAUCACUGGGCUUAAAGCGUGUGUAGGCGGAUCGUUAAGUGCCUUGUGAAAUCCCACAGCUUAACUGUGGAACUGCUUGGCAUACUGGCGGUCUUGAGCCAUCUAGGGGUUGCUGGAACAAACGGUGGAGCGGUGAAAUGCGUAGAUAUUGGGAAGAACACCGGUGGCGAAGGCGGCUAUCUGGACCGACAUUGACGCUGAGGCGCGAAAGCUAGGGGAGCGAACGGG
rnacentral:rRNA from 1 species